rnacentral:lncRNA from 1 species
AUGCUGGGAAAGUGGUCUGCCAGGAAUGACGAAACAGCCCCGCUGCAGUCUGAGGGGUGGAUCUCAGCUACAACCAACAGAAAAUGGGAAAUUUCUCUUACUACAUGGAGUUUCAAGGUGAGGGACUUUGUUGCCAACAAGACCAAUGCCUCAGAACCUGUGACUCAGUUUUGGCUGGAGGUAGGGGACCCAGGCCUGGAGGAGCCAAGCUGCAGUGAGACUUCAAGGCAGCCACACAGUCCACCGCCAGGGUUCAACUGCACCUCCUCAGCCUCAGCUGAGCACCAAGAUUCUGGGCUCCCCUUAUUGCCCUGUGAGCUGCUCCUGAGAAGUCAGAUCCGACUUGUCCUCUGUGGUCACCUUGGAGUUACACUUCCUUUCUCUCUGCCAUCUACUUUGAAGAACUCCUUUUCAGGUUGUCUUCUUCAGGAAUGA